AUGGCGGAAGAGGUACAGGAACUUAGAGACUUAAUUGCCCAAUUAAAGGCCGAUAAUGACCGGUUGAGACAGGAACAGGCUGGCCCUAGUUCUUUACCGCCUGCCUCUUCUGGGCCAUCUAUUGCCCCCUCUAGUCCUAGUGUCCCUGUAGCAGAGAGGUUAGUGUUUGUCCCUCGAGAUAGGAAGUGUCCAGUCUUUAGAGGUAAUACUGGCAUGGGGUUGAGUGAGUGGAUUGAGGAAGUGCAGGCGUGCAUGAGGGCUCGGCAUUUGUCCCGAGCUGACCAGGCAUUUUUUCUGUUUGAUCACCUGGAGGGUGGGGCUAGAGAGGAGAUAAAAUAUCGCUCUAGCACAGUGAGAGAGAACCCGGACAGUGUGUUUGCCAUUCUGAAGGAGCUUUACGGUUGUGCAGAAUCGUAUGUUUCUCUGCAGGCGGCUUUCUUCUCUAGGAAGCAGCAGGAGGGAGAGACUCUUCAGGAGUUUUCCCUCGCUUUAAUGGGCCUCAUGGAGAAAGUGAAGCAGUGUGCACCUAUGGACAUGCCGAAUGCUGACACACUCCUGCGAGACCAAUUUGCGGAGCAUGUUUCUGAUAGUUCCUUGCGGCGUGAGCUCAAGCAGUUAGUGCGCAGACAACCUAACAGCACCUUGCUUGAGGUUCGAGCAGAAGCAAUCCGGUGGGAGCGUGAAGGCCUACCUGGCGGUGUGCGGGGCCGCAGUUACUCGGUCCCUACAGUGUUUGGUGUCCAGUAUGGCGUUCAGGGUGGCCAUCAGCAAGCUGUCUCUUCACCCCCAGUGUCUGAGAUGUGUGAGAUGAGGGAAAUGCUUAAGCGUCAGCAGGGGCAACUUGAUCAGCUCACUGCAAGUAUUGCUCAGUUGCAGCAUUUUCAGCCGCACAGUCGCCCAUCUCGUACUGGCCCAGUAAUAUGUAGGCGCUGCAAUCAGCCCGGUCAUUUUGCGAGGGAGUGUGAUGGUAGGCGUGCUCCUUCUCGUUCUCGGUUUCAUUCACAGCUCCCAUCCAAUGUUGACAGGCGGCCUCAUGCUGCAUCGGGGUCGGAAAACUAG
rnacentral:lncRNA from 1 species